GAUGAACGCUGGCGGCGUGCCUAAUACAUGCAAGUCGAGCGAACGGACGAGAAGCUUGCUUCUCUGAUGUUAGCGGCGGACGGGUGAGUAACACGUGGAUAACCUACAUAUAAGACUGGGAUAACUUCGGGAAACCGGAGCUAAUACCGGAUAAUAUUUUGAACCGCAUGGUUCAAAAGUGAAAGACGGUCUUGCUGUCACUAAUAGAUGGAUCCGCGCUGCAUUAGCUAGUUGGUAAGGUAACGGCUUACCAAGGCAACGAUGCAUAGCCGACCUGAGAGGGUGAUCGGCCACACUGGAACUGAGACACGGUCCAGACUCCUACGGGAGGCAGCAGUAGGGAAUCUUCCGCAAUGGGCGAAAGCCUGACGGAGCAACGCCGCGUGAGUGAUGAAGGUCUUCGGAUCGUAAAACUCUGUUAUUAGGGAAGAACAUAUGUGUAAGUAACUGUGCACAUCUUGACGUUACCUAAUCAGAAAGCCACGGCUAACUACGUG
rnacentral:rRNA from 1 species